rnacentral:rRNA from 1 species
GUAGUUAGCCGUGGCUUCCUCCUCAGGUACCGUCAUUAUCGUCCCUGAAGACAUAGUUUUACAAUCCGAAGACCGUCAUCACUCACGCGGCGUUGCUGCAUCAGGCUUUCGCCCAUUGUGCAAUAUUCCCCACUGCUGCCUCCCGUAGGAGUCUGGGCCGUGUCUCAGUUCCAGUGUGGCCGAUCAGCCUCUCAGCUCGGCUACCCAUCGUCGACUUGGUGGGCCGUUAUCCCGCCAACUAUCUAAUGGGACGCGAACCCCUCCAAUAGCGGAUUGCUCCUUUGACCUCAUCCUGAUGUCAGGUCGUGGUCUUAUGCGGUAUUAGCAACCGUUUCCGGUUGUUAUCCCCCUCUACUGGGCAGGUUGUUCACGCGUUACUCACCCGUUCGCCACUAAGUUAUCAACCGAAAUCAAUAACUCCGUUCGACUUGCAUGUGUUAGGCACGCCGCCAGCGUUCGUCCUGAGCCAUGAUCAAACUCUGA